rnacentral:tRNA from 2 species
CGAGGUGUAGCGCAGUUGGUAGCGCGCUUGGUUUGGGACCAAGAUGCCGCGGGUUCGAAUCCUGUCACCUCGACCA